CCUAAACGCCAGCCCAGCUGCCCAUAUUUUAUAAACCAGCCUUUGCAGUGACAAUUGAAAUGCUUCAGACAAGCAGGGGCAGCAAGAUGGAGUCACACAGGCAGGUCUUCAUACUCCUGCUCCUCUGGAUGUCCGGUGCUGAGGGGAACAUUGUGAUGACCCAGUCUCCCAAAGUCAUGUCAACAUCUGUCGGAGAUAGGAUCACUCUAGGGUGCAAGUCCAGUCAGAAUGUGUAUAAUAUUGUAGCUUGGUACCAGCAGAAACCAGGGCAGCCUCCUAAACUGCUAAUAUAUGGUGCAUCCACUCGCCCCUCUGGGGUCCCUGAUCGCUUCACAGGCAGUGGAUCUGGGACAGAUUAUACUCUCAGCAUCAGCAAUGUGCAGGCUGAAGACCUGGCAGUUUAUUACUGUCAGCAGUAUUACGACUAUCCUCCCACAGUGCUUUAG